GGCGCAGCUUUAUACGACCGCAGAGGUUGAACCCUGAACGGUUGGGGCAAGUAUGGACACAACAUUCAAGCUUGAUUCAGCUCUAAAUUUGGAUUGUAAUUAAAUAGUUGACACAGCAUAGGUUUCUGACACAGAAUGAAUGUGGUCUAAUGAACUUAAAAUUUUUGUUUUGCCUUUGAGCAAUUCACUAUGCUGUUGAAUAUUAAUCCUCUCAAAAAAAUGUUUGAAGAAAUAUUCUUUUUAUUUAUGAAAUCUGAAAUGAGAAAAAUUGACCCCCCCCCCAAUUUUUUUUCACAUCCCCCUUUCCCUUAUUCCAAAA
rnacentral:lncRNA from 1 species